AGCUUUGCUCAGUGGCAGUAUUGGACCCAAUGAGGUUUAUCUGAGGCGCUACUAUUGCUACUUAAAAUUUUUUCCCAAUACCCCUCCUUGAAAUAUGACUUGAAAUAUGGUCUGCAUUGGCAGUAUUUGACCAUCUCUGCAGAGA